AUGGACCAAUCCAUCCCUUUUUCCCGUGCAUAUGCAUCGGACUCGGAUGACGAUGGUCUCGAUGAAGAAGUUGAUGAGGAGGGGUUCACGCCGAAGGAGGCCCAAGCAUUCAAGAAGGUAUUCGGGCGGGAUCACAAGACACCAUUGUUCAAGGAUCUUAGUCUCGCGGAUGAAGCCGUUGUGGAUGGUUGCAAAUGCAUAUCUCUUGGAGCUAGGCCAAGUUCUCACCAUGAUUUGGAAGACGGCAAGAACGGGAUAUAUCCCGGUUGUGAGUUUCAAUCCUUCUUGGAAUUGAAGAUGUGGCUCGACAACUACUCGGUUACACAUUAUUGUCUACAUAAAGUGGCCAACUCGGACGUCAAUGUGCGUUACACGGUCAAAUGUGAAGUGCCAAGAUGUCCAUGGAUUGUGCGUGCAAGGCCAUGGAAAGGAGGUCCCACUUGGCGCAUAGUGAGUUGUCUACCAACUCACAUGUGCCGGCACAAGAAUGCGGAUGGCGAGUGUCGGUGUCAAAACCGGCGGAUCUCGGGUAGUGGGUCCCGAACUAUGCAUCUAGGCCGGAUGGUAACAGGAGGCAGGGAACACGAUGUUUUACCCAGGUUCGGGCCCUCUUGA
rnacentral:rRNA from 1 species